rnacentral:rRNA from 1 species
CAACUCGACUACAUGAAGCUGGAAUCGCUAGUAAUCGCGAAUCAGAAUGUCGCGGUGAAUACGUUCCCGGGUCUUGUACACACCGCCCGUCACACCAUGGGAGUCGGAAAUGCCCGAAGUCAGUGACCUAACCGAAAGGGAGGAGCUGCCGAAGGUGGAGCCGGUAACUGGGGUGAAGUCGUAACAAGGUACC